UAAUGUGAUUUCUGCGCUACGGAGGAUAUACGGUACUUUUUAAAUUUAGUAGCAAGUUAAGUAUUUUAUGAGCAAUGCAUAAUUGUAUUAAAUUUUUUAAAGAUGUCUACCUCAUGUAUUUUAAGAAAAACAUGUAACAUAGCUUCCAUUAAUAAAGCCUAAAAAGCGACAGAUUUAAUAAACAUGCGCCCAACGACAGAGAACGUGACGGUACGGAGAAGAUGCUGCUCUACCUGUUUGCGGCCGGGAGACGCUGCGCCUGCGCCAGCGGUGACAUCGGCCUCCGGCAGACGAAGGCGGGUAUUUAGCCGGAGGAAGCCAGCGAAGGCGGAGACGUGUGGCCAGAUACAACCAAUCAGUGCUCAGCUCGCUCAUUAUACUCACCCUUCUCUUAGAAAUACAGAAAGAAGGGAAGUUGUCAUGGAGUAAGUAGUACCUUCCCUCCGAAGUUAUAGUGUGACCAGUAACCCUCCUUCCACUGUUUAGCGUGACCGAUACAUUAGGAUGACAGAAGUGCUGUGUGACGCUGAAAGACCAAAGAAGCCUCGAGCGUGUGAAGCAGCAGCCAGAGGUGCCGCCCGCCGUUUGUAGAUGAAGGAGAGGCACGGACACACCUGCAGGAUCCUGGAAAGCAUCUUUGAUGACAAGACUUCAGAACAUCAAACGGACUGGCCCUGGCAGACCAGGCACCAUAGGCAAGGUUCUGCUGAUAGGCACAAGGCAGGGAUCAGCCCAGGGCAGGGAUCAGCCCAGGGCAGGGAUCAGCCCAGGGCAGGGAUCAGCCCAGGGCAGGGCACCAAAACUUCUCAGGGUAAGGAUUCCUGAAGAAUGGUGCUCAUUGGCUAGCACUGGUUCCACCCACUUGCAGAGUUACUGGUUUGAGUCCUGCCUUCAUCUUUGUACAGUAGGAGUCAAAAGUCUGGACAAAGCUACUGAAAAUAACCUUGGAGUUAUGCAGUAAGUAUGAUCUUACUCUUAAGAAUAAGAUGUAGUGCUGUGACAGAUGACCUGACCCCCACAGCCCCUCCACCGAAGCCCCGUAGAGCUGCUUUGGGAUGAGUUGAAUUGAAGAGUAAGAGCCAGGUAGCCACCUUGUGCCCAGGAUUUGUGGAAGCUCCUUCAGGACUUCAGGCGGCUACAUCUGGAAGCUGUCUGGAAGAACGUCAGGAGUCUGCAACACCGACAUCCAAGCAAAAGAGGCUGUUUUAAAGAGUCUGACAUCUCUUGGUCAUUGCAGUAUUCGAGUUUUAUUCGUGACAUAUCCAGUCAUACAAUGUACUUUUGUGUCGUGAAAUGAGAUUUAGUUAGAACGUGCCAGCAGAUGCACAGUAUAUUUACAAUUAAUGUAGACAUAAGAUAAAAUGGCUGCUAAAUAGACAAUAGUGAGCAGUAUAUCAACAUAGUAAAAGGAUGUGCAGUUAGAGUAUAGCGUUAUAAAAGUGCCAUAUUUAACUUGCUAGCUAUGUGCUGUCCUCAGUCGGCACCAUCGGCCUUGGGCCACAAUCGCUUGCUCAGUCUCUCUGCUUUGGCCUUCAGGCGCCGGUUGUGUCUCCCGGAGCUCAGCCACGACAGGGGGUGUCAUUGGUGGGGACUGGGUCGUGCAUUACUUUCACUGGGAAUUUUUCUGGCCGGUGGUUGGGUUUACGUCCAUGCGGCAGCCCAUUACAGACUAAGCUGGGUUUCCCUAACGCAGGUCCAUGGCCCACUAGAGGGCGCUACUAGUCUGCGGAUCAGUGGUUAUGAGACUCUGUAGCAGGUAAUUAUUGUUUAAAGGAAACAUUCAUGCAGACUACAACAUGAAGUUGCAUGUUAAUGUUCAUGCUCCCACAGUGCUGCAUUACUCCGAGCCAAUCAGUCCAUAUCCUGCUGUGUUAGAUCCCCAAAACAUAAUGACGGAUAGGGCUUCUGAGAUUACCCCGUUAUGCUCAGUAGAGCAGACCUGCUCUCCAAGGUGAAAAUCAGGCAAGCAGCGGCAUGGACACCUGGACAAAAUGGGGAAUUACACAUAUUUACAGACUAUCCCGUAUUUGUACGUAUAGUUCAGUGUCGCAUGCCUUAUCCUGGCCUUUUUUUUUUUGUUCGGGCCACUUGGGGCAGCACUGCCCCCAUCUUGAUGUACUGUCAUGUACAACGACAAUAACAAACUGGAAUCUUGAAAAGAAAUGGCUUCACUAAUUGUGGGUAAUUGGUGUCUUUGUAAAGUGGAGUACCAAGGGGCAAUACAUUUAUGCAUUUUCAACAGAUGCUAAAUAUAUUCUCCACUAUAGAUGUCUAUGAUUGUGCUAGGCCGCCCCCUGUCACUAACGUGUUUUUCUUGGUUUGAAAGGUAUAGCUUACCCACAUUACAAGUAUGUUUCCAGUGCAGCUGUCCAAACUGAUAACCGUCAGUGGAGAAUGUGGUGAGUUUGUCUCUCUGUGGAUUUUAGUUCAUGGAGCUGAACCACAAACCAGUCAUGCGCUUAGUGUCUGAUGAAAAGUGUGUGUGUGUAUAUAU